rnacentral:rRNA from 1 species
GGCCUACCAUGGUGGUAACGGGUAACGGGGUGUUAGGGCACGACACCGGAGAGGGAGCCUGAGAAACGGCUACCACAUCCAAGGAUGGCAGCAGGCGCGCAAAUUACCCAAUCCCGACACGGGGAGGUAGUGACAAUAAAUAACAAUACGGGGUUCUAUCGGAUCUCGUAAUUGGAAUGAGUACAAUUUAAAUCUCUUAACGAGGAACAAUUGGAGGGCAAGUCUGGUGCCAGCAGCCGCGGUAAUUCCAGCUCCAAUAGCGUAUAUUAAAGUUGUUGCAGUUAAAAAGCUCGUAGUUGAAUUUCGGGGUUAGUAGGUUGGUCGUGCCACUGGUAUGUACUGGUUCUACUGAUCCCUCCUUCCUGAAGAACCGUAAUGCCAUUAACUUGGUGUUGCGGGGAAACAGGACUGUUACUUUGAAAAAAUUAGAGUGUUUAAAGCAGGCUAACGCUUGAAUACAUUAGCAUGGAAUAAUGAAAUAGGACGUUCGAUCCUAUUUUGUUGGUUUCUAGGAUUGACGUAAUGAUUAAUAGGGAUAGUUGGGGGCAUUAGUAUUCAAUUGUCAGAGGUGAAAUUCUUGGAUUUAUUGAAGACUAACUACUGCGAAAGCAUUUGCCAAGGAUGUUUUCAUUAAUCAAGAACGAAAGUUAGGGGAUCGAAGACGAUCAGAUACCGUCGUAGUCUUAACCAUAAACUAUGCCGACUAGGGAUCGGAUGAUGUUAAUUUUAUAAUGACUCAUUCGGCGCCUUACG